rnacentral:tRNA from 1 species
ACCCGUAGCUCAGCUGGAUAGAGCGCUGCCCUCCGAAGGCAAACGCAAGCUCUUUCUGCCGAUCGAGGGUG